rnacentral:rRNA from 1 species
UAGGGAAUCUUCCGCAAUGGGCGAAAGCCUGACGGAGCAACGCCGCGUGAGUGAUGAAGAUCUUCGGAUCGUAAAACUCUGUUAUUAGGGAAGAACAAAUGUGUAAGUAACUAUGCACGUCUUGACGGUACCUAAUCAGAAAGCCACGGCUAACUACGUGCCAGCAGCCGCGGUAAUACGUAGGUGGCAAGCGUUAUCCGGAAUUAUUGGGCGUAAAGCGCGCGUAGGCGGUUUUUUAAGUCUGAUGUGAAAGCCCACGGCUCAACCGUGGAGGGUCAUUGGAAACUGGAAAACUUGAGUGCAGAAGAGGAAAGUGGAAUUCCAUGUGUAGCGGUGAAAUGCGCAGAGAUAUGGAGGAACACCAGUGGCGAAGGCGACUUUCUGGUCUGUAACUGACGCUGAUGUGCGAAAGCGUGGGGAUCAAACAGG